rnacentral:tRNA from 1 species
GGGGUUGUGGCUCAGUGGUAGAGUGCUCGCUUCGUACGUGAGAGACCCUGGGUUCGAUCCUCAGCACCA